rnacentral:lncRNA from 1 species
UAAUACUAUUUUUUCCCCUUCUUUCUGAGCUCUUCAUGGUCAACUCUGUGAAAAGGAGACCUGGAAAAGAGUCUUCUUGUUGGGGACCCUGGCCUGAGUUGGAGAAUCCUGGGAAGGAUCUACAAUCUACAACCUGGUGUAGAGGAGUCUAGGGUAAGAAGGAGAAUGUAGAGCUUCUGCGUAGUUCACAAUUGUUACCUGACCUCCUAAGC